rnacentral:rRNA from 1 species
CGUGUCGUGAGAUGUUGGGUUAAGUCCCGCAACGAGCGCAACCCUUAUUACUAGUUGCCAGCAUUCAGUUGGGCACUCUAGUGAGACUGCCGGUGACAAACCGGAGGAAGGUGGGGAUGACGUCAAAUCAUCAUGCCCCUUAUGACCUGGGCUACACACGUGCUACAAUGGAUGGUACAAAGGGCUGCGAGACCGCGAGGUUAAGCCAACCCCAGAAAACCAUUCCCAGUUCGGAUUGCAGGCUGCAACCCGCCUGCAUGAAGCCGGAAUCGCUAGUAAUCGCGGAUCAGCAUGCCGCGGUGAAUACGUUCCCGGGCCUUGUACACACCGCCCGCCACACCACGAGAGUUUGUAACACCUGAAGUCGGUGAGGUAACCUUUACGGAGCCAGCCGCCGAAGGUGGGACAGAUGAUUGGGGU